CUCUGAUACCUGCCUGAAGAUUUAUGGAGAUCAGAUGAGUUUUAUGAUAUCACUGAGCAUCAAAACAGUGCCGGCAAUGACGGAAGCAGCAGCCGUGAACAAAUCCACAGAACUAUAAAUCCUUUCACGAGCUGGGAUGAUAAGGUUGUACCUCUUUUUCUCCUGAGAGUCACCAAGUGUAGCCCAUCCAGAUCCUUACAUUAGUUAACAGGAGGACAGACACAGCAGUUAAUAACAAACAAAGUCAUGUAAGAAGCAGCAUUCAUGGGCCAUGUGCUGUCAUCAUAAACUGCC